rnacentral:lncRNA from 1 species
UAAGCUUUCUUUAUCAGAACCUGCUUUAAAACCUUCCUGUUUGUCUAAUGUUCUUGCAAGGAUAAUCUUUCCAGAGUUAGGAGACUGAAAAACAGGUAUUUUAACAGAUGAAGGUGCAGCAGUACUGGCAAGCUGUGUCUUAAAAGCAAGAUGAACUGGACUAGAAACAUUCACUUUAGGAUUAUUUGACAUGGCUGAAGACUGAACUAUUGGCACAAAGUUUCCAGAAGAUUUAGAAAUUGGGAGUAAUUUCAGAAGGUUUUUUCCAUCUGGUCCCGUCGUCUGAACUACUCGGUACAUACAGCCUGCAAUGCUGGCGGGUGGCUCCCUGCUCGGCCGUACCGGGCCCUGCCGAGCCGCCUGGGAGCGCGGCGGCGGAGACGGCGGCGGCGUCGUUGCCCACCCCCCUCCGCCCUCCGCCGGGAGGGGGUGAGCGCCGGGCCGGCCCGCACCGCGCCGCCCGGGCCCGGUACUCACAACUGCGCUGCGCUGCC